rnacentral:rRNA from 1 species
GACGAACGCUGGCGGCGUGCCUAAUACAUGCAAGUGGAACGCAUUUUAAUCACCGUAGCUUGCUACACCGAAUAAAAUGAGUCGCGAACGGGUGAGUAACGCGUAGGUAACCUACCUUCUAGCGGGGGACAACUAUUGGAAACGAUAGCUAAUACCGCAUAAGACAUUAUAUCGCAUGAUAGGAUGUUAAAAGAUACAAUUGUAUCACUAGGAGAUGGACCUGCGUUGUAUUAGCUAGUUGGUGAGGUAACGGCUCACCAAGGCAGCGAUACAUAGCCGACCUGAGAGGGUGAUCGGCCACACUGGGACUGAGACACGGCCCAGACUCCUACGGGAGGCAGCAGUAGGGAAUCUUCGGCAAUGGGGGCAACCCUGACCGAGCAACGCCGCGUGAGUGAAGAAGGUUUUCGGAUCGUAAAGCUCUGUUGUAAGCGAAGAAGAGUGUUAGGAGUGGAAAAAUCUAACACAUGACGGUAGCUUACCAGAAAGGGACGGCUAACUACGUGCCAGCAGCCGCGGUAAUACGUAGGUCUCGAGCGUUGUCCGGAUUUAUUGGGCGUAAAGCGAGCGCAGGCGGUUAGAUAAGUCAGAAGUUAAAGGCUGUGGCUCAACCAUAGUAUGCUUUUGAAACUGUUUAACUUGAGUGCAGAAGGGGAGAGUGGAAUUCCAUGUGUAGCGGUGAAAUGCGUAGAUAUAUGGAGGAACACCGGUGGCGAAAGCGGCUCUCUGGUCUGUGACUGACGCUGAGGCUCGAAAGCGUGGGUAGCGAACAGGAUUAGAUACCCUGGUAGUCCACGCCGUAAACGAUGAGUGCUAGGUGUUAGACCCUUUCCGGGGUUUAGUGCCGUAGCUAACGCAUUAAGCACUCCGCCCUGGGGAGUACGACCGCAAGGUUGAAACUCAAAGGAAUUGACGGGGGCCCGCACAAGCGGUGGAGCAUGUGGUUUAAUUCGAAGCAACGCGAAGAACCUUACCAGGUCUUGACAUCCCUCUGACCGGUCUAGAGAUAGGCUUUCCCUUUUGGGCAGAGGAGACAGGUGGUGCAUGGUUGUCGUCAGCUCGUGUCGUGAGAUGUUGGGUUAAGUCCCGCAACGAGCGCAACCCUUAUUGUUAGUUGCCAUCAUUGAGUUGGGCACUCUAGCGAGACUGCCGGUAAUAAACCGGAGGAAGGUGGGGAUGACGUCAAAUCAUCAUGCCCCUUAUGACCUGGGCUACACACGUGCUACAAUGGUUGGUACAACGAGUCGCAAGCCGGUGACGGCAAGCUAAUCUCUUAAAGCCAAUCUCAGUUCGGAUUGUAGGCUGCAACUCGCCUACAUGAAGUCGGAAUCGCUAGUAAUCGCGGAUCAGCACGCCGCGGUGAAUACGUUCCCGGGCCU